UUCCCCGCUCGCGCUCGCUCCGGGGUGAAACAAUGGCGCUCCAUCUUCUCGCGGGACCGUCCCAACUCCCCUCCUCCUCCUCCUCCCGCCACGCCCCACCGCCGCCGCCGCGUCGGUGUUCCCGGUCUCGUGCCCUCUCCCCCUCCGCCUACGGACGGACCCUUCCAUCCUUCAGGAGGCCGUAUACGUCCGUCCUGGUGGUGCCCACGGGGGUCGGCGCCGCCGUCGGGGGCUUCGCCGGCGACGCACUCCCCGUGGCGCGCGCCCUUUCUGCCGUCGCAGACUGCGUCAUAUCCCACCCCAAUGUGCUCAACGCUGCGAUGCUGUACUGGCCGAUGCCCAACGCGCUUUACGUGGAGGGGUACGCCCUUGACAGGUUCGCCGAAGGCGCCUGGGCUCUUCAGCCAGUCCACCAGAACAAGGUAGGCUUGGUGCUGGACUCUGGGAUCGAGGAAGAGCUCCGGCUCCGCCAUUUGCAGGUCGCGGAUGCCGCAAGGGCAUCGCUUGGCCUCCCUGUGGUUGAGUACACUGUCACAGAUGCUCCUUUGGAGAUCAAGACUUGGUUCGAUCCAGAAUGCGGGAAAUCAACAGGGAGCGUCGGGAACUCUGAUUCUCUGUUAAGAGCGGUUGACACGCUAGUGAACCACUCGGGCGUGAAUGCUGUGGCGGUUGUUGCACGAUUUCCAGAUGAUGAUCCUGAAGAUUCAGAUUGUUAUCGGGAAGGAAAGGGAGUUGAUCUGUUAGCAGGAGUAGAAGCAAUCAUCAGCCACCUAAUUGUGAAAGAAUUCAAAAUCCCUGCUGCUCAUGCUCCUGCGGUUUUACCCCCACCACUCAGCCCAUCAGUUUCCCCAAGAUCUGCUGCUGAAGAGAUUGGCUAUACCUUUCUCCCUUGUGUGCUCUCUGGGUUAAGCAAUGCUCCUCAGUAUGUGACGAGGAGACAGGGAACCUUUGAUGCUGGUUGCAUAGUGGCUAGUGACGUUGAUAGCGUUAUUCUUCCAAAAGAUGCUUGUGGAGGUGAUGGUACUCUUGCUUUUGCACGAACUACAAGAAAUAACAAGCCCUUAAUUAUCACCGUUCAGGAAAAUGAGACAGUGCUUGAUGACACCCCUGACAAAUUCAGUAUAGAUGCACUGAAUGUCGAGAACUACUGGGAAGCUAUUGGAGUUAUUGCUGCUCACAAGGCCGGUGUCAAUCCAAAUGCUCUUAGAAGACAAGGAAUCGAUCAUCUUAAGAGCCCUCGACAAGUGUAUUCUGCUCGGUUUUCUGGUCCUCGGCGUAUGGCCUCCUCUGGAAUGCAGGACAAAGUAUAUGUGGAGCAGUUAGUUUGACAGUUUACUACAGAAGAAAUCAGUUUUAACAAAUAGAAGGCUCCAAAUUUUGAAGUUACAGACUCACAGGUGUAGCGGGCAGAAGGGCGACGACAGGGCGCACAAGAUGGACACUGGCAAGAUCCUGGCGCUGGGUUUCCCUCCCUUCCUGUCCAUCAGGCAGAUGUUCGACGACUGCAUCAAGAGCUUCCAGGACAAGGGCCUUCUUCCUCUAAUUUGAGAUCCACCGUUGGUCGGUCGCCGUCCCGUACGCCACACAACACAUAGCUGCUAACUGGAGUAUAUUGAGUAAAGAUCUAAUUAAAUGAGUAAACGAUGAUGUGUUCCCUUAGCUAAAAACUCUUUAAUUAUAGUUGUUGAUGACACGUCGUACUUGAGAUAUAAGUAUAGUAACUGUCUCCCUUCCAAAAUAUGAGAUGUAUUUUUAUAUCUCUGAAUUGAACCAUUGUUUGACCAA